AGGGGGUCAAGUGUGGCUGCCCACCUAACAGCUUGCUGUCAUCACUUUUGCUCUUGGGUGAAGAAUAAAGAACUUCAUUUCAGGCAACUGCCUGUUGUCUCUUUGAUCCCAGCUCAGAAACGAACUGAUGAUUGUGGAGAAAAAGUGUCCGAGUCGUUUUGACCAAUAUGGGAAAAAGAAAGAAGCGACAUGGAAUUAGUCCGGGCUCUCUCUCCUCUUCAAAAUCUGCUAAACAACCGAUGAUAGAAGAACUUCUUAAACAAAAUGAAACUAUCCCAAAAGAAGCAAUUGUCUAGCACAUGGCCAGUGCUCGGCAGAACAGUCGGUAACUCCCCAAGAUCACACGCGGCAUCCUGUAAAUCAGCUGCACGUGUAGAGGUGAUAGCUGCUCCUCCAUCGGAAAUAUGUUAGUCUCCCCCUCGCCAUGUCCUGUAUGCCUGAUGGAGAAAGAGCUGGGUCAUUUCCCAUGCUCCCUACUUGGUCUCUUGCUAUCCCUGAGGUGCCCUCCACCCCAUAGAAGAAUUCCUCCUGCUCAUCUUGGUCAGCACCUAACUCCUGCAAGUUUUAGGACUUGUGUGGUGAAGAGAUCACGUUUUAACUCAUAUUUAUGCAGAAAUACUGAACGCCCACUGUCAAAUGCAAGAAAAAAGAAGAUUCCAUCCACAACCGUGGACCAGCUCAUACCUUUGCAUUCUGCUCAUGCGAAUUUUGAAUUUGCGACCCAAAAGGGGAUGAUGGAAGUAUAAGUAAUGAAUAUUGGGAAGAAGGCUUCAAUAAUGCAUUGGGAUUUUUAUCAACCUUGCAUCAAGAAGAGUAAAAGAAAGAAGUUGUGUGAUACGGUAGCAUCAUCAUACCAUAGAAAGGCCAUAAAGAUCCCCGCCAGUAGCAUCUUGCAACUGAUUUGCUGACCUGCUUUGAAUCUGAGCAGCCAGCUCCCACCAUAGAUUUCCGAUCACUCUGAUGAAGACACAAUUCUGCAACCGCUAAGCCCACUGACUCAAAAAUAGGAGAGCACAGAAGUGCCAAACUUCAGGAACGGCACACUGAGACUAAGAGGUUACUUAGGAGUUGGGGCUCUCGUAUAGCGAUACGCCUUGACCCUGACUGGGUUCAGAGGAAACCUGGAACUUCUGGCCUUGUACCUUUUCCUGAAGACAGAAAACAGAGCACUGGAAUACUGUGAGCCCUGCGACCCAGCCCUCAUUCUUGCUCUCCCAGAUUGACAUGGUUGUGGCUAUACU